rnacentral:rRNA from 1 species
AUCGUGGCUCAGGACGAACGCUGGCGGCGUGCUUAACACAUGCAAGUCGAGCGGUAAGGCCCUUUCGGGGGUACACGAGCGGCGAACGGGUGAGUAACACGUGGGUGACCUGCCCUCAGCUCUGGGAUAAGCCUGGGAAAACCGGGUCUAAUACCGGAUAUGACUCCAUGACGCAUGUUGUGGGGUGGAAAGCCUUGUGCGGCUGAGGAUGGGCCCGCGGCCUAUCAGCUUGNGGUGGGGUGAUGGCCUACCAAGGCGACGACGGGUAGCCGGCCUGAGAGGGCGACCGGCCACACUGGGACUGAGACACGGCCCAGACUCCUACGGGAGGCAGCAGUGGGGAAUCUUGCGCAAUGGGCGAAAGCCUGACGCAGCGACGCCGCGUGAGGG